rnacentral:tRNA from 1 species
UUCCUCAUGGUCCAGUGGUUGAGACUCCGCACUUCCACUGCUGGUAACACAGGUUUGAUACCUGAUUGGGAAA